GUGCCAGCAGCCGCGGUAAUACGGAGGGUGCAAGCGUUGUCCGGAUUUAUUGGGUUUAAAGGGUGCGUAGGCGGUUAAUUAAGUCAGCGGUGAAAGACUACAGCUCAACUGUAGCAGUGCCAUUGAUACUGGUUAACUUGAGUAUUGUUGAGGUAUUUGGAAUUUAUAGUGUAGCGGUGAAAUGCAUAGAUACUAUAAGGAACACCGAUAGCGUAGGCAGAAUACUAAGCAAUAACUGACGCUGAGGCACGAAAGCGUGGGUAGCGAACAGGAUUAGAAACCCCAGUAGUCC
rnacentral:rRNA from 1 species